rnacentral:tRNA from 1 species
GAGGGUAUAGCUCAGUGGUAGAGCAGGUGCUUAGCAUGCACGAGGUCCUGGGUUCAGUCCCCAGUCCUUCCA